UCAGAUAUCACUACUCAUUUGAAUCGCUGACAAAAAUGAUAGAAAAUGUAUCACUGGAGCUGAAACAAGACUUGAAAAAGAUAACAUUAGGUCUUGUUGGUGCAGACAAUCAUACUGUUGUGUUUUAUGACAUUUGUAAAGGAAUGGUCUCUCCAAAUGAUAGUCCACUGUCUUUAAAACGUCAGAAAAAAUGA